GUGCACGCUGGCGGCAGGCCUAAUACAUGCAAGUCGAACGGCAGCACAGUGGAGCUUGCUCCAUGGGUGGCGAGUGGCGGACGGGUGAGGAAUACAUGGGAAUCUGCCCAGUCGUGGGGGAUAACGUAGGGAAACUUACGCUAAUACCGCAUGCGCCCUUCGGGGGAAAGCCGGGGACCUUCGGGCCUGGCGCGAUUGGAUGAGCCCAUGUUCGAUUAGCUAGUUGGCGGGGUAAAGGCCCACCAAGGCGACGAUCGAUAGCUGGUCUGAGAGGAUGAUCAGCCACACUGGGACUGAGACACGGCCCAGACUCCUACGGGAGGCAGCAGUAGGGAAUAUUGGACAAUGGGCGCAAGCCUGAUCCAGCCAUGCCGCGUGAGUGAAGAAGGCCCUCGGGUUGUAAAGCUCUUUUGUCCGGGAAGAAAAGCAUCGGGCUAAUACCUCGGUGUUCUGACGGUACCGGAAGAAUAAGCACCGGCUAACUUCGUG
rnacentral:rRNA from 1 species